GCUUCCAUCAUUGCCGCUGCUGCUGUCACCACUACUACCACUGCAGGGUUGCCUAGAAGCCGAUGAUCACUGUAAAGUUCCCCAAUGAAUUAAGUUUGGGCCAGGAGAUACUAAAGGAUACAAAAAUGGCAGACUCACUGCUGUUCUGGAGGUCUGUGCUAAACACACAUGGAAGAAUCUAUGCCAGGUACUCUGCCACCAUGGCAAAGCAUCCGAACAUGAAGAAGAUGGGUUUGAAUACCUGAAGAAUGUUGGGAGCUAAGUCAGUAUUGGUCCACAUCUGAAGACUGACAAAUCAUUUCAAGCAAAAAGAAGUGGCCCAGGGUGACUCAGAAUCAGACAUUCUCUUUGGAGACAUGGUACUGAAACACAGAAUGUAAAUUGAAACACCAAAGAACAAAAAGAUUUCAUUUUCUCACAUGCUUGUUGUGUUGGGUGGAAAAGACAAGGAAUGAAAAGAAAGGAGCUUAAAGGUGUGAGAAAUAAAGAAGAGCCCACAAAGAAGAUGAAG
rnacentral:lncRNA from 1 species